rnacentral:pre_miRNA from 1 species
AGCCUCCUGAAUCUGUGCUGAGAUUCCGACAAACACCAGAACAUCAGGAUUAAUGAGACUCCCAAUAUAAAUGAAGUG